rnacentral:rRNA from 1 species
CAAUAGCGUAUAUUAAAGUUGUUGUAGUUAAAAAGCUCGUAGUUGGAUUUGUGGUGUACUUCGGCGGCCCGUCACUAUGUGAUGGAGCUUGCUGAAGUCGCCAUCCUUGGGUGGAUCCUGUGUGGCAUUAAGUUGUCGUGCAGGGGAUGCCCAUCGUUUACUGUGAAAAAAUUAGAGUGUUCAAAGCAGGCUUAUGCCGUUGAAUAUGUUAGCAUGGAAUAAUAAGAUAGGACCUUGGUACUAUUUUGUUGGCUUGCGCACCAAGGUAAUGAUUAAUAGGGACAGUUGGGGGUAUUCGUAUUUCAUUGUCAGAGGUGAAAUUCUUGGAUUUUUGAAAGACGAACUACUGCGAAAGCAUUUACCAAGGAUGUUUUCAUUAA